GAUGAACGCUGGCGGCGUGCCUAACACAUGCAAGUUGAACGAAGUGGCGGAUGGGCGAGUAACACGUGAGGAACCUGCCUUUCACAGGGGAAUAACACUGGGAAACCAGUGCUAAUACCGCAUAGCGAAAGCUGGCCUCGCGCCAGGUUAGCUAGUAGGUGAGGUAACGGCUCACCUAGGCGAUGAUCAGUAGCCGGACUGAAGGUUGAUCGGCCGCAUUGGGACUGAGGCACGGCCCAGGCUCCUACGGGAGGCAGCAGUGGGGAAUAUUGGGCAAUGGCGCAAGCCUGACCCAGCAACGCCGCGUGAAGGAAGACGGUCUUCGGAUUGUAAACUUCUUUGGACAGAGACGCGGUACCUGUAGAAUAAGCCACGGCUAACUACGUGCCAGCAGCCGCGGUAAUAC
rnacentral:rRNA from 1 species